rnacentral:rRNA from 1 species
AUUGAACGCUGGCGGCAGGCUUAACACAUGCAAGUCGAACGAGCGGCGGACGGGUGAGUAAUGUUUGGGAAUCUAGCUUAUGGAGGGGGAUAACUACGGGCAACUGUAGCUAAUACCGCGUACCAUAGGAUGAGCCCAAGUGGGAUUAGGUAGUUGGUGAGGUAAAGGCUCACCAAGCCGACGAUCUCUAGCUGGUCUGAGAGGAUGACCAGCCACACGGGGACUGAGACACGGCCCAGAAUCCUACGGGAGGCAGCAGUGGGGAAUAUUGCGCAAUGGGGGCAACCUGACGCAGCCAUGCCGCGUGAAUGAAGAAGGCCUUCGGGUUGUAAAGUACUUUCGGUAGCGAGGCGUUGACUACAGAAGAAGCACCGGCUAACUCCGUGCCAGCAGCCGCGGUAAUUC